rnacentral:rRNA from 1 species
AUUGAACGCUGGCGGCAGGCCUAACACAUGCAAGUCGAACGGUAACAGGAAGAAGCUUGCUUCUUUGCUGACGAGUGGCAGACGGGUGAGUAAUGUCUGGGAAACUGCCUGAUGGAGGGGGAUAACUACUGGAAACGGUAGCUAAUACCGCAUAACGUCGCAAGCCCAAAGAGGGGGACCUUCGGGCCUCUUGCCAUCGGAUGUGCCCAGAUGGGAUUAGCUAGUAGGUGGGGUAACGGCUCACCUAGGCGACGAUCCCUAGCUGGUCUGAGAGGAUGACCAGCCACACUGGAACUGAGACACGGUCCAGACUCCUACGGGAGGCAGCAGUGGGGAAUAUUGCACAAUGGGCGCAAGCCUGAUGCAGCCAUGCCGCGUGUAUGAAGAAGGCCUUCGGGUCGUAAAGUACUUUCAGCGGGGAGGAAGGGAGUAAAGUUAAUACCUUUACUCAUUGACGUUACCCGCAGAAGAAGCACCGGCUAACUCCGUG